AAUUAUGGUUUAUUUAUUUAUUAUUUAUUAUGUUGAAGUACAUUGUAAAUUUUCUUUUCGCAAGUAGGAAGCUUUGGCUGGCAUGGGUUCUUUGAGUUCAAUAAAAAGGUAGAAAUGAGAAAGAAUGACAUGCUUUGCUGCCAACCAUUGCAUUAGUGGCCAACUCAUCCAUACAUUGCAUAUUAGCAUAUAAAAAGUGGCAAUUUUGUCAGUUCCUGUGGCUGCUGCUUUUGCUAAUAUAACCAUCAACAGAUUAAUACAGAUAUCUAAUGAUAAAAAACACUUAACUCAAAAGCUGCAAAGAUAGUCAGCAGCAGCAGCAACAAAGGCAGACAUAAAAAGCUUUCUAGCUGCAUCCGUGGAUUCAAUUCAACUUAAAAGCUCCAAAGUUUGAGCUAGCUUUUGGAGUUUGGAUAAAAACAAAGUUCCUUCAUGCGCCUCAGAAUCCACUAUCUGCAGAUUAAUGGCAACAGAAGCUGAUAUUCCAGAAGCUAUAUCUGUCACGGACCAAGCGGCAGCUUUAGACUGGAAGAUGACUGAGAUUGCACAACUGGAGAGAAACAAGUGCUCAUCAUGUCAAAGGAACCCCUAUUUGUUGCACUGGGACAUGACUGAGGAGUUGGACAAGUUACAUUGUUCCCGUACAAGAGCUGUUGCUCCUCGCGAAUUGUCAAAACUUCAUUAUCAUUCUUUGCAACGUGUUAUACUGCCAAUUCUGCUUCCAAAAAACCUUUGCUUGUAUCCUCAGACUCCAUAUAAGCAUAAG